rfam:Homo sapiens chromosome 9, GRCh38 reference primary assembly.
AAACAGACAGGUUUGGUCCUGGCCUUUCUAUUAACUCUUAGUAAGAUUACACAUGCAAGCAUCCCCAUCCCAGUGAAAGUACCCUCUAAAUCACCUUGAUCAAAAGAAGUAAGUAUCAAGCAUGCACAAAUGCAGCUCAAAACACUUUGCCCAGCCACACCCCCACGGGAAACAGCAGUGAUAGAUCUUUAGCAAUAAACAAAAGUUUAACUAAGCUAUACUAAUAUCCAGGGUUGGUUAAUUUCAUGCCAGCCACCGCGGCCAUACAAUUAACCUGAGCUAAUAGAACUCGGCAUAAAGAGUGUUUUAGAUCUAUCCUUAACAACGCUAAGCGUCAUCUAGGUUGUAAAAAACCCUAGCUGAAAUAAAAUAAACUACGAAGGAGGCUUUAAUACUUCUGAAGACACAAUAGCUGAGACCCAAACUGGGAUUAUAUACCCCCCAAUACGCUUAGCCCUAAACUCCAAUAGUUAAAUCAACAGAACUAUUCACCAGAACACUACAAGCAAUAGCUUAAAACUCAAAGGACUUGGCGGUGCUUUAUAUCCCUCUAGAGGAGCCUGUUCUAUAAUGGAUAAAACCCAAUUUGCCUCACCACCUCUUGCUCAGCCUAUAUACCACUGUCUUCAGCAAACCCUAGCAAAGGCUGCAAAGUAAGCACAAGUAUCUACGUAAAAAUGCUGGGUCAAUGUGUAGCCCACGGUGGUAAGAAAUGGGCUACAUUUUCUACACCCAGAAAAUCUCACGACAACCCUUAUGAAAUCUAAGGGCUCAAGGAGGAUUUAGCAGUACAUUAAGAGCAGAGUGCUUAAUUGAAUGAGGCCAUAAAGCACGCACACAAUGCCCGUCACCCUCCUCAAAUAUUACUUUAGAGAUUAGUUUAACUAAAACCCCUACUUAUUUAUAUAGAGGAGACAAGUCGUAACAUGGUAAGUGUACUAGAAAGUGCACUUGGAUGAACCAAGGU